UACGUAGGCAGCAAGCGUUGUUCGGAGUUACUGGGCGUAAAGGGUGUGUAGGCGGUUGUUUAAGUUUGGUGUGAAAUCUCCCGGCUCAACUGGGAGGGUGCGCCGAAUACUGAAUGACUAGAGUGCGGGAGAGGAAAGUGGGAAUUCCUGGUGUAGCGGUGAAAUGCGUAGAUAUCGGGAGGAACACCUGUGGCGAAAGCGGCUCACUGGACCAUAACUGACGCUGAUGCACGAAAGCUGGGGGAGCAAACAGG
rnacentral:rRNA from 1 species